UACGUAGGGUGCAAGCGUUGUCCGGAAUUAUUGGGCGUAAAGAGCGUGUAGGCGGCCCGACCAGUCCGCUGUGAAAGUCCAGGGCUCAACCCUGGAAUGCCGGUGGAUACUGUCGGGCUAGAGUCCGGAAUGGGCGAGUGGAAUUCCUGGUGUAGCGGUGAAAUGCGCAGAUAUCAGGAGGAACACCAAUGGCGAAGGCAGCUCGCUGGGACGUGACUGACGCUGAGACGCGAAAGCGUGGGAGCAAACAGG
rnacentral:rRNA from 1 species